UGGAGGAUUGAGAAGGUGAGGUAGCUUUUUAACUGUGCUGCACUUACUGGUAGAAACCUCCCAUAUUACAAUAAUGCCAGCAGUGUUUUCUAAGCUACAGCACAUCAUUGUUGCUAAAGCACAUCACUGCUGCAUACACUUU